GAUGAACGCUGGCGGCGUGCCUAAUACGUGCAAGUCGAGCGAACAGACGAGGAGCUUGCUCCUCUGACGUUAGCGGCGGACGGGUGAGUAACACGUGGAUAACCUACCUAUAAGACUGGGAUAACUUCGGGAAACCGGAGCUAAUACCGGAUAAUAUAUUGAACCGCAUGGUUCAAUAGUGAAAGACGGUUUUGCUGUCACUUAUAGAUGGAUCCGCGCCGCAUUAGCUAGUUGGUAAGGUAACGGCUUACCAAGGCAACGAUGCGUAGCCGACCUGAGAGGGUGAUCGGCCACACUGGAACUGAGACACGGUCCAGACUCCUACGGGAGGCAGCAGUAGGGAAUCUUCCGCAAUGGGCGAAAGCCUGACGGAGCAACGCCGCGUGAGUGAUGAAGGUCUUCGGAUCGUAAAACUCUGUUAUUAGGGAAGAACAAAUGUGUAAGUAGCUAUGCGCGUCUUGACGGUACCUAAUCAGAAAGCCACGGCUAACUACGUG
rnacentral:rRNA from 1 species